UUGAAAGGGAAACGAUUGAAGUCAGUCGUACCGACGAGAAAUCAGCUUAUCGUGUGUGAACUUGUGGGCGUGCGUGAGUUUCGGCCUCGCUGUUUGCAUGUUUGUGCGCUUUGGGUGUACUUUUUCGUAUGGUUGGCCAACAUCAGUUUCGAUUAUUAUAAAAUGACUGGCGGAAUGUAGCUUCGAUUUCGGUUGAAGUGUUAUAGCCUCUGGUAGAUGUGGUAAUUGGGACUGAGGAUUGCAACGAAUAUCCUUUGGGCUAUCCGUCUGGCCUCUGAAAGUUGCUUGGGUGCUGAAAGCUUGCUUAUGGUUAUCUAAGUUAACGGUCAAUAGGUUAGAACGUGAUUACAUUCGUUAAGGAUGUUGACGUA
rnacentral:rRNA from 1 species